GAUGAACGCUAGCGGCAGGCUUAACACAUGCAAGUCGAGGGGUAGAGGAAGCUUUAUUCCUUGAGACCGGCGCACGGGUGCGUAACGCGUAUGCAACCUACCGUUUACAGAGGGAUAGCCCAGAGAAAUUUGGAUUAAUUCCUCUAAGUAUAUGUUUUUUGAAUGUUAGCAAUAUUAAAGUUUCAACGGUAAAAGAUGGGCAUGCGUACUAUUAGCUAGAUGUUAAGGUAACGGCUUACCAUGGCAACGGUAGGUAGGGGUCCUGAGAGGGAGAUACCCCACACUGGUACUGGGACACGGACCAGACUCCUACGGGAGGCAGCAGUGAGGAAUAUUGGACAAUGGGCGCAAGCCUGAUCCAGCCAUGCCGCGUGCAGGAAGAAGCAUCUAUGGUGUGUAAACUGCUUUUGUACGGGAAGAAACACUCCCUCGUGAGGGAGCUUGACGGUACCGUAACAAUAAGGAUCGGCUAACUCCGUGCCAGCAGCCGCCGUAACAC
rnacentral:rRNA from 1 species